ensembl:lncRNA
GGAAAGUCUAACUCUGCUUCAAAAUAGCUUUGGCGAUGCAGUUUCUGCAGUCUGCUCUACUGCUUUAUCUACCCUGGAUCCCCAGUCUCUCCCCAGGCUCCCUUCUGUGUUCUAGUGAUGGGGUAUGUGUGGUUGACAUACAAUGGCAAUGGUACUGGAGAUGUACAGAAGAAAAUUCCUUUCAAAAAUAGUCUGGUCUCUGCAUCAUUUUAAGUGACAAUACGGUAAUAGUAAGAGUAAUGGUAAGAGUAAUGGUAAUGGUAUUAUUAAUAGUAAUAAUACAAAGUAAAUCAGAAAAAAAGUGCUUGCACUGAUUUCCUCUUCUGUUGUCUGUGAGGGAAGCCUUGCAAAUCUUUCAGUGAAAGAAAAGAUCCAAAAACUUUUCAUACUGAUAUAGGUUGAUGCUGCUGAAAAGCAAAGACAGUGUACAGUCACUGAGCGGCCAGUCUAUGAUAUUAACAGGUUGAGGACUGCCUUUUAAUACCUCACUUUGCUCUGGUUCAUUCCAAAUAAGUGUAUUUUUUUUUACCAGACUGUCAACGUCCAUCAUGUACUCUGAAAAAUCCUGACAUAGUUAUUUUGCAGGAAGGAUGCUAUUUUACUGGGUAGCUUUUGGAAAUCCAAGACAGUAGCAUUAACAUUGUCAUAGGUACCACCAAAAAAUGGAGGCACACAAACCCCAGGAAGCAGAGUAAAUUUUGGCAGAGAUAAGGGAGUAGUCAGAAUACCACAGUGGAAAGUUGAUUUACCAUUAUCCACAAUUUCUUUUUAAUAUUCUAAACUCCUUAUUAGUGAUAGCUGGACAAAUUGAAAUCUCCACCUGCUGUAUCUGUAGUAUGAACUCCUUUUUUGCGUUGUACAAUUUCCAUAUCCCAUAGUAUAUUGCAUCAAAAUGUGCCAAAAAGGCCUACAAGGUCUUUCACCAACAGAAGUGCAAGUGGUGAAGAUAUGAAGUGCAGCUACAGUCACUUUGACCUAUGCUGCUCUUGCAACUCAAUUUUGUCAUUACAGAUGAUGAGUCAACAGAGGUAUGAGUGCCAAGUUCUGUAAAACAGGAAGCAUGAGUUGAAUUAAAUUUGAUUCCGUUAAUAUAAAUUAGCCAGAAAAUAAUGUCAGGGAUCAUGUUUUAAAUUAUUAGUCUGAAUCACACCCCAAAACUGAUAACACUCAUUUUUAAGGGGACAAAUGUUUUCUACUUUUGUGAAUACCCAUACUAGUGCUAACAAGAUGCUUUUAAGUUAAUGUUGGUUCCUCACAACCCACGGUGUGUUAUCCAGAUGACUAAAUCACAAAUACAUGCUCAAAACUCUUAUUUAGAAUUGGCUUGGCUGUCUUUGCACACACUGUAUCUGUCAUGUUGAGCUACUGCUGGUAUUUUGCUAUCAAUAUAAAUGAAUCAUCCUCUGAAUCACUUCAGAUUUUCUCUCAGAGCUCUUUUAAGAGUCAUUAUAAUAUUGUUAUUCUGAAUGUCAGCUCUCAAUGAACUGAAAUGUCUGAAGUCAGUGGUAAGACUCAUCAUGACUUGAAUGGGCUCCAGAUGUCACAUGGUAAAUCAGCUUUCCGGUGCUCCUUUUUUUUUUUUUUUAUUGCUUUUUCCUCUAUCACUUCAUCUCUUUACUUUACUUUUCCUGCCCUGAAUGUCAGAUUCAUAAAACUUCGGGAUGUGGAAUUUCUCUGAUUAUUGAAUCUGCAAUACGUAACUAAUGCCCAUCCUAACACAGAUACUGACAGUAAGUUUGAGAAGAUAGAAUCUCACUCCUCUGAAGAAGGUGUCUUGUGUCCUUUGAAAGUAUUUUCCUUCUCAGUAUGAACAGCUUUCAAAUCAUGUUUCAAAAUCAGAAUUGUUCCCUUUCUUCUACUGAAAUCUUAAAAUAUAAAAUUUUACUGUCUGAAAAGAAACCAAGGUCCUGGUAGUGCAGCACUGUCCUCUGAAUUUCAACCCUGAUUUCACAACAGCUCUGAUUCUCAAUUGUGUCUUAAUUUACCAGAUUUGACUCCUUACCAUGUUUUUUUUCUUGAAUACUGUUUGUAGAAGAGAUGCUUACCACAGAAGAGCUGGAUGAAGUAUUUGACUGAAUAUAUUUUUAUUAAAAAAAUAUGCAUUUUUCUAAUGUCUACAUAUUUCAAAGAACUGUGUUGAUCUCAAAAAAAAAAAAAGUUCAAACUGAGCAAAAAGCAAACACCAACAAGCCCACAAUAUAACAACAUGAUUAAUUAUUAUUACUAUUGUUGUUGUUAUUUAAGUUUAGCAAGAAGUUAUGACCCCUUCCUUGUUGAGACUCAAAUAUUAAUGUUUUUAAAACAUCACAAUCUCCUUUAGAAGAAAAAUGCUUAUUUUCAUCUAGUUCCAAAUAACAAUACAUUGGUGAAACAAAGCAUCCUAGGGAAGCACCUUUUGUUUUAUGCAGUACAUACAAUAAAUUUUGCCUAGGGCAGUGACCCAUGGCAUAAAUAACCAAGAAGCCCAGAGAUACAAGACUGCAGACAAGGAUGGUUAAUGGCUCCAGAAGGAUGAUGCCCACACAGAUCAGGUUCAAAGGCUUGCCAGGCACACAGGGAGAUGUGAGUGGCAACCUGAAGCUUCCAGGGGUGGUGCUCCUUGUGCAAGACCAGAGCAUCCUCAGGACAGAAGACCCAUGCAGCUGGAUCUAGAGUUGCCAAUAAAUUCAUAACAUCAACUCAUAGGUUAUCAGCAGAAGGACCAGGAAUAGGAACUGAGAACUCUCUACAUUUUUUCUAAAGUAAACUCUUCUUGUGGAAUGAUCAUUCUGAAGAUGCUUCAAGUUGCUAGCAGUGCAGACCCAGCAGGCUAUGUGGGAUACAGAAGCUCUGGAGAAGCACAUCAGAGGAGCCCCAGCACACAUCAUGAGACUGCCUGCUCUAUUUCCUCUGGCAGACCUGGAAGAAGUACAGCCUGGGAUGAGCAUGACUGAACAGCAAAUAAGCAGAGUGUAUUUGUCUCUGUCUGGAACGUUUUGUGUGUAUGAGACAGUCCCACAUGUUUUUUCAGGACCACCCUGUCUUGUUUUGAAUGGUGUUCACAGAAACCUGAGUGUGAUGGUAGUAAAUAAAGAAAAGGUUGUGGCUGUGCUGGGGAAGCUCCCCUAGCUGGCCGUCUACUUAUUUGUGUUCUUACAUUGCCACCCUCUGGAUUUAAACACUGCCACUCUAUGGGCAGUUAAGUUUGAGAAAGGCACGCUUAUAAAGUACAAGCCUAAACACACCACUGUAGACAUGCAUUGUUACUAUCACUAUUCAAGUACAUUCAUCUCUUGUAAAUUUCUCAUCUGUUGCUGUAAAGAUUUUUUUAAAGGCUGAUUUGAGGAAGUGUAGCAGAGCUACAAAUCUUUUGAGUGUUCUCCAAGCCCUCCAAAAAAAAAAAAAAAUAGAUAUGAGAAUUGAUGAUAGUCUGCAUGAGCUGAAGAAACUACACCCUUCUCUAUACUGAAUAAGAGCAGAGAGUAUUAAUUGAACAUUUGUGGAGGCAAGAAUACACUAUAAGUUCUAACUAUAGUUAUAGGUAUAAGGUUAUUUGGCCAAAUCACCCAAGUAUGAGGUUCAACAAGGGCAAACAUUGGUUCUUGCACCUGGGGAGGAAUAACUACACACAUCAGAAAAAGUUAAGGAAUGACCUGCUGGAAAUCAUUUGUGAGCAGAAGAACCUUGAUGUCCUGGUGGGCAACAGGUUGUCCAUGAGCCGGCAGUGUGCCUUUGCACCCAAGAAGGUCUAUUGUACCCUGGGGUGCACCUAGAAGAGUGUGGUCAGCAGGUCAAGGGGGUAAUCCUUUGCCCUGGUGAGGCCACAUCUGGAGUAUCAUGUCAAGUUCUGGGCUCAGUUCAAAAAAGACAGGGGCUUCUAGAGAGUCCAGCAAAAAGCCAUAGUGAUGAUUAAGGUCCUAGAGCAUCUCCCCUAUGAGAAAAGUCUAUGAAACCUGGGACUUCUCAGUAUGGAGAAGGCUGACAGGGGAUAUUAUAACUUUUAUGAAUAUCUGAAGUGUGGGAGUUAAGUCAAUGGGAGCAAUAGAACAAGGGCAGAAACUGGAACACAGAAAGUUCAUACAAACACAGGGAAGAACUUUGCUGUGAGUGACAGAGCACUGGAACAAACUGCCCAUAGAGUUUGUGGAGUACCCUCAUCAGGGGAUAUUUAUAGCCCAUCUGGAUGCCUUCCUGUGCAAUAUUCUGUCAGGAAUCUUCUUUAGCAGAGAGGUUGGACUCGAUGACCUCGAGAAGUCCCUUCCAACCUCUAUAAUUCUGUGAAUCUGUGAAGUACACUGAAUACAGAUGCCAUGAAUACCAAUCCUCACACAAGAACAACACCUACUGCUGCACCAUGUUGAAAUUUGCUCUUUCCCAAGUAUUGAAGGAUAUAUUCAGUCUUCCUGACCUACAUUUCUAUCAAGAGAUUGCCAAUGAAAUUCUAACAUCUGUAGUUGUGUGAAUGUCAGAUGUACAAAACUGAAAGGGAAGAAAGUGCAGGAUACCAAGUAAACACUUGUAUCUUUUCAUAUAAAAUGUAAAAACUAAUUUUAUAUAAUAAAUACCUUCAUUCAGAAUUGCUCAUAUCUGAGAAAGUACUGCAUUAAGAAAAAAUGGUAAGCAAAGUCUAUGCAUGUUUUUGCUAUAGGAGGGAUGAUGUAUUCUUUUCAUGAAGCAUUUCAAUUACUUUCCAACAUUUGUGGCCUUGUCAUUCCAGCUGUGUAUGGCAUUGUACUUGGUACUUUUUAAAGAGCAUCUUAUCAAUUGAAGAGAGAUGCUGACAAGACUGAAAAGAGCACAGUGAAGACAGUAAAGGGGACAGAGUGGCAUACAAAGAGAAGCUGAAUAAACUGGAUUUUUUUAGCCUUGAGAAGACAGGGAUGGUUUCUAACUUCAGUUCUCAGUUAUCUCUUGGAGAGUUACAGACUACAGAUUCUUCAUGUGGGUGCACAAUGAAAGAACAGGAGGCAACAACUGCAGUUGCAGAAAUGAGAAUUUGUGCUAUUUAUAAAAAAUUCCCCUUCAACACGAGAGUGGUUAAGUUCUACAGCAGAUCACCUUGAAAAACUGUGAAAUUUGCUUUACUGAAGAUUUUCAGAUUUGGUGGGACAAGGUCCCCAAGACAUACUUGGGGAAUAGGUUACCACAUGCUACUGGGGAAAGAUGAGGGGUUUAAAAUUCUUUUAUGCUCUGACUGUCACAGUGCAGAAUUCCUGAAGAAAAAAACACCAGCCUUCCAAAAAUGAUCCUCUGUGAAUAAAGAGUGUUGGUCAUAAGAGGGAAGGCUCCUUGCUCCUUUGUGUUGUCAGACUGUUUAACACAAAUACAAAGUUUGAAGAGUGAAAGAUCUUCCAGACUAGAAUUGAGAUAUAAUUAAUUACCUAUCAACCUGGUUUGCAGUCACAGAAAAGGUCUGCAGAAAAAAAAUUCUCUUCAAAAGACAUUUUUAAAAAUCGAUUGCUUGUUGAGAUACAGGGAGGUAGGACACAUGAACUGGUACACGUUACAACUUUAACUACCAUCAUAAAGGUGCCACUUUAACUCUUAGUAAACAAAAUGAUGGAAUUUUGCAUGGUAACAUUGUGAGUUCCCUUGUGAAACCACUCCAACUCAGAAAUUAAUACUCUCCCAAAUCACUAGCUUUUUUUGCUAUUUUUCAUUUGAUUGUUUUAUUUAUGUUUGUUUGCUUGCUUGGCUGGCUGUUUCAUUUCAGUUGGGUUUGGCGGG